GCUUGUCUCAAAGAUUAAGCCAUGCAUGUCUAAGUAUAAGCCUUUACACGGUGAGACUGCGAAUGGCUCAUUAAAUCAGAAACUGUUUAUUUGAUAGUGCCUACUACUUGGAUAACCGUGGUAAUUCUAGAGCUAAUACAUGCUGGUUAGCCUGACUUUUAGGAAGGGCUGUAUUUAUUAGAUAACAAACCAAUAUUCCUCGUGUCUAUUGUGAUGACUCAUAAUAACUGAUCGAAUCGCAUGGGCCUUGCCCGCGAUACAUCAUUCAAGUUUCUGCCCCAUCAGCUUUCGAUGGUAGUGUAUUGGACUACCAUGGCUUUAACGGGUAACGGAGGAUUAGGGUUCGAUUCCGGAGAGGGAGCCUGAGAAACGGCUACCACAUCUAAGGAAGGCAGCAGG
rnacentral:rRNA from 1 species